rnacentral:misc_RNA from 1 species
UCACCCCUCAAGCCCCCGGGCUUGGUGUUGGAGGCCCUGGUCAAGGUGCAUGCCGUGACCCCUCCUAAAGACAAUGACGGCGGCCCCGUGACGCCCCCGGUACACUGAGCUUCUUAACUGAGCACGUACCGGAUCCAGGGCGUCCGGGCCACGGUCCUCUCCCUUCACUGGGAAACACUUUUUUACAA